rnacentral:rRNA from 1 species
CAGUCGCCACGGUAAUACGAAGGGUGCAAGCGUUACUCGGAAUUACUGGGCGUAAAGCGUGCGUAGGUGGUGGUUUAAGUCCGUUGUGAAAGCCCUGGGCUCAACCUGGGAAUUGCAGUGGAUACUGGGUCACUAGAGUGUGGUAGAGGAUAGUGGAAUUUCCGGUGUAGCAGUGAAAUGCGUAGAGAUCGGAAGGAACAUCUGCGGCGAAGGCGACUAUCUGGGCCAACACUGACACUGAGGCACGAAAGCGUGGGGAGCAAACAGGAUUAGAUACCCCGGUAGUCCCUGUCUCUUAUAC